rnacentral:rRNA from 1 species
UACGUAGGGGCCUAGCGUUGUCCGGAAUUAUUGGGCGUAAAGAGCUCGUAGGCGGUUCGGCAAGUCGGAUGUGAAAUCUCCACGCUUAACGUGGAGGGGCCAUUCGAAACUGCUGUGACUCGAGUCCGGUAGGGGAGUGUGGAAUUCCCGGUGUAGCGGUGAAAUGCGCAGAUAUCGGGAGGAACACCAGUAGCGAAGGCGGCACUCUGGGCCGGUACUGGACGCUGAGGAGCGAAAGCGAUGGGGAGCGAACGAGGA